rnacentral:sRNA from 1 species
AUGAAGUUACAGUCUGUUUCCCUUUGGCUCCUGGGUACAAUACUGAUAUUGUGCUCAGUAGACAACCAUGGUCUCAGGAGAUGUCUGAUUUCCACAGACAUGCACCAUACAGAAGAGAGUUUCCAAGAAAUCAAAAGAGCCAUUCAAGCUAAGGACACCUUCCCAAAUGUCACUAUCCUGUCCACAUUGGAGACUCUGCAGAUCAUUAAGCCCUUAGAUGUGUGCUGCGUGACCAGGAACCUCCUGGCGUUCUACGUGGACAGGGUGUUCAAGGAUCAUCAGGAGCCAAACCCCAAAAUCUUGAGAAAAAUCAGCAGCAUUGCCAACUCUUUCCUCUACAUGCAGAAAACUCUGCGGCAAUGUGUGAGUCACUGGGUCAGGAUUCCAGCAUCUGCUCCCCGUCUGCCCCAGGAGAGGCCAGGAAGUGCUGGCCCCCAUCGGCCUCCUGAUAUGGUGCUUGGAGUCAAAGGAAAUUCUCUGCGCACGUCCACGGGGAGAACUGUUGAGAACCUCUCCCAGUGGUCACUGCUUCCCCAGGGCUCCCUGCCCUCUGACAACUCCUCAGAUGGUCUCCUCCUAGAUAACCCUCCUGGGGUGACCAACUUAUGUCAACAUAUUCCUUAGUAAGAGGCAUGGCAAAGACUCCAGUUCUACUAUAAGCAUACCCCUGGUUUCUUUAUUUUUGGCCCUUUGGUGUCUUUACAUCAAUAAACCUCUGGGUAGUUCCUUGGUAUGGCCUAUCCCUAAGGGUUGCCUAGAAAUUCAUUGCGAUCUAUUCAAAUCCAACAUCAGAAGCAAAACCAACAGAAACCAACAAAAACUUAGACCAGGAGAGAACCUGGGCUCUAGCCCCAUUCCUGUGAGACUUUGUGGCAAGUGAUUUCACCUUUCUGUGCCUCAGAUUCUAAAAUUGUUAGAAGAGUUGAGGGCCCCUGUCCUACUUGCAUUAAUAUGAUAAUGAUAAUGG